rnacentral:rRNA from 1 species
UGGGGAAUUUUGGACAAUGGGGGAAACCCUGACUCAGCCAUCCCGCGUGUGCGAUGAAGGCCUUCGGGUUGUAAAGCACUUUUGGCAGGAAAGAAACGUCAUGGGUUAAUACCCCGUGAAACUGACGGUACCUGCAGAAUAAGCACCGGCUAACUACGUGCCAGCAGCCGCGGUAAUACGUAGGGUGCAAGCGUUAAUCGGAAUUACUGGGCGUAAAGCGUGCGCAGGCGGUUCGGAAAGAAAGAUGUGAAAUCCCAGAGCUCAACUUUGGAACUGCAUUUUUAACUACCGGGCUAGGGUGUGUCAGAGGGAGGUGGAAUUCCGCGUGUAGCAGUGAAAUGCGUAGAUAUGCGGAGGAACACCGAUGGCGAAGGCAGCCUCCUGGGAUAACACUGACGCUCAUGCACGAAAGCGUGGGGAGCAAACAGG